UGUGAGCAUCAAAAGGUGCCCAGAGUGCUACAUAGUGGAUAGCGGCGGACGGGUGAGUAACGCGUGAGUAAUCUGCCCUAGACAGGGGAAUAACACAGGGAAACUUGUGCUAAUACCGCAUAAAGCAGCAAAGCGGCAUCGCUAUGCUGCCAAAGGAGAAAUCCGGUUUAGGAUGAACUCGCGUCCGAUUAGCUAGUUGGUGGGGUAAAGGCCUACCAAGGCGACGAUCGGUAGCCGAACUGAGAGGUUGAUCGGCCACAUUGGGACUGAGACACGGCCCAGACUCCUACGGGAGGCAGCAGUGGGGAAUAUUGGACAAUGGGCGCAAGCCUGAUCCAGCCAUGCCGCGUGAGUGAUGAAGGCCCUAGGGUUGUAAAGCUCUUUCGCCAGGGACGAUAAUGACGGUACCUGGAUAAGAAGCCCCGGCUAACUUCGUGCCAGCCGCCGCAGUAAUAC
rnacentral:rRNA from 1 species